UUUUUUUUUUGGGUACAUUAAUCUUAAUUAUAAUAAUCCAUUAUGAAAGAAAUAUUAACCGUUUUUAUUUACUCUCGAGUGUUUCAGAGGAAAGGACCUGGAGGUUCAACAUCAGAGAGAGCACUUGAUGCCAAGACACUGAGACGUUUGGCGCAGAACAGAGAAGCAGCAAGGAAGAGCCGAAAUCAGAAAAAAGGCGUAUGUGCAGCAGCUGGAGACAAGUAGGAUAAAGCUUUCUCAGUUGGAGCAGGAUCUUCAGCGAGCUCGAGCUCAGGGAUUGUUUCUGGGAGGAGGUGGCGGUGCAGGUGGAAAUAUCAGUUCUGGUAACUCUCUCUCUCUCGUAUGAAAGCGGUGGGGUGAAGCUCUAUCUCCUGUUGAGCUUUUCAAUUUUCUCGGCCCACCACAGCUGUCCUUUUUGCAUAUUUUUUUAUUGGUUUGGGAUAAGUCACCAAAAAAAAAAAA